GAAAAUACUGAUAGGGUUUUUUCAUUUGCGUACUUUAAAAACAAAGUAUACACAGUGUGUAUUAUUAUACUCACAUGUACGUACAUAUGUAUGUUCAUAUUUUUGGUCAUUGGAAAAAAAUUUGGAAAGCCAUCAACCAAUUUUAGCUAAUAAUUAUAUGUGCAUAUACGUUUGUAAGCAGUUAAAUUAUAGCAUUUAAUUAAGAAAACAUUUUGGAUUGCGUGUUAAAAAAUGCUUACUUUAAUGGCUUUAAUUGCAAGGGCAUUCAGCAGUAUGUCCAACGAAGGUCCACGUCCACUUGUCAUUUGUGGCCCAUCAGGUUCUGGUAAAAGUACACUAUUAAAAAAAUUAUUUGAAGAAUUCCCGGAUACUUUCGGUUUUAGCAUUUCGCAUACAACACGUAAUCCAAGACCUGGUGAGCAACAUGGAAUUCAUUAUCAUUUUGUAACACGACAAGAAAUGCACGAUUCCAUUUCGAACGGGGAAUUCAUUGAAACUGCAUGCUUUAGUGGUAAUUUGUACGGAACAAGUAUACAGGCCGUACGCACUGUUCAAUCACAAGGAAAAGUAUGUGUUCUUGAUAUUGAAAUUCAGGGAGUUGAGCAAAUCCGUAAUUCUAACUUGAAUCCGAUACUAAUAUUUAAUAACCCACCCUCAAUCGAAGAAUUGGAAAGAAGAUUACGAGGACGUAAUACUGAAACAGAAGAAAGUUUGCAAAAACGUUUAGACACCGCACGGCGAGAAAUUGAGUAUGGUCGUACUCCAGGAAAUUUUCAUACAAUCAUUCAUAAUGAUGACAUUGAAAGGGCGUACAGAGAAUUGAAAAAAUUCAUUUUGCAAGAAUUGGAAGAACAGCAACGAAAUGGAAUAGCUUUAAACUUAAGACAGAUAAAUUCUUCAGAAAUAAAUUAAAAUCUAAGAUGAAGCCUAUAAAGUAAAAAUAUACAAAAGAUAAACAUUUCGUUGUUUAUUGAGAGUACAUGCUUAUACAUAUAAAGUGGUUCCUUCACAAACACAAAGUUUUUUAAAAGAAAGAAAAAGAAAGUGCCAUCAGUAAGACUGUAAGAUCCAGAACUUGGCAAGAAACAUAACUGCCACUCAUUCUUUGACAUUGCUAAUGAUAAUGGACCCACAAAGUGAAACACUAUAUCGAAAACUGUAGCUAAAAGUCUUACUAAUAUCAGUAAAUACAACAUCAACCAGACUACUUCGUUUUGUGAUGUGAUAGUUUCGUAGACAAAUCUCGUUAAAUUACUGAUCGCUGAUUUUACUCUAUAAAUGAAAUUAUCACUCCUAUGUUGGUCAACAGCAAGACAAAAAAUUUCAAAAGAAUUUUGCAAAAGAGUUGAGGGACGGCUCCAGUAAUGAAGAACUUUUUAUUACAUGCAGUCGAAAACGGAUAGCGAAAAAUGUUUUGAGUAAAGAUGAUGUUUCACUUAUCUGCUUCUUAAAGUUGCCACUUAUGCAUUUUCGUGACAUCGUUAAUGUCUCAAAAAAAAACUUAUACCCGAUACAAUGUUAAUUUUUUUUAAUGUAAUAUAAUCAAAAAAGUUUUAAUUAUACAUUGUGUUUUGAUACA